UCUCCAUGAUAAAGGUCAAUAUGCCAAACUUGAGACUUCAAACCCUCCACAGGCAGACUGAUGACGUCAACCUUGUGGAGUCCUUAUUUUAUACAGUUAAACAUUUCACUUCAAUAGUGACUUCGAGGUAUAAGUUGGAGACUUUGAUAGGUGGUGUGAAAAAAUGUUUCCCCCGCUUCCUGAUUCCUGAUUCCUUAUUGUGUGAAUGCUGAAGCUUUUUAAUGCUGCUGAGUGUGUAUCUGUUUACUCAGCUACUGUAGCAUAAUGAAGAGUAGACAUGCAAUAAGCAGAAUUCACUUAAUUAAUUUAGUUAAAAAAAUAUUUAUUUAAUUGAAGUUUAAAAAACAGGUUAAAGGGUGUUAUAUUAUUAUAAUGAGCUGACAAAUAAGUUACAGGUUACUUAAUUUAUUGUGUAUUUUGUUUUGUGUUUUUAUUGUUUUUAUUGUUCCCAUGACGGAACAAAAGUUUCUUGUUUUGUUUUGCUAAGUGGAUACGACGGUAUUAACCGAAGCACAGACCAGGAAGUUGUGAACGCACAGUAUGUUGUUUACACGGAAGCUAACUGUCACAUGGAUUUCAAAGACUUUAAGGACCUCUUUUCACGACCAGCGGCCAACGAGUUCUCGCGGCGUGAAGGCAAGGAUACAUAAGACACAAGCUCAUGUAUUAAACGCCCCGUGUCUGUUGUCGUGGAGAGAGAUACAAAUGCUUGUCAUGUUAAGUAUGGUCGUGCGUCUAAGCGUAACAAGAAGUGUCUGUAAUACUGUAAAUUGGAUUGUCUCUGACCUCCAUGUGGUCACUGGAGAUUACUGCUGCAGGCCCUCCUAAUCCACAUUACCACACACACAUAUACGUGUUGUACAAGGUGUUGUAUGGAGCAGCAAUCUCAUGAUUGGAGUGGAACACAAUCCUGUAAUGAUGUUAGCAUGAUUGGCACAUUAGUGGCUUUGCAUGUUGGCUUGUUCGUUUUACUUUCUUCAAAGUAAAGUUGCAGACUCGUA